GAUGAACGCUGGCGGCGUGCCUAAUACAUGCAAGUCGAGCGAACGGACGAGAAGCUUGCUUCUCUGAUGUUAGCCGCGGACGGGUGAGUAACACGUGUAUACCCUACCUAUCAGUCUGGUAAAACUUCGGGACACCGUAGCUAAUACCGUAUAAGAUUUUGAACCGCGUGGUUCAAAGGUGAAAGACGGCCUUGCUGGCACUUAUCGCUGGAUCUCAGCUGCAUUAGAUAGUAGGUGAGUUAACGGCCUAUCACGGCAACGAUGCCUAGCCGACCUGAGGGGGGGAUCGGCCACACGGGAACUGAGACACGGUCCAGAGUCCUACGGGAGGCAGCAGUAGGGAAUGGUCCGCAAUGGGCGGAAGCCUGACGGAGCGACGCCGAGUGAGUGAUGGAGGUCUUCGGAGCGUAAUACUCUGUUAUUAGGGAAGAACAGAUUUGUAAGGAACUGUGCACAGCGUGACGGUACCGAAUCAGAAAGCCACGGCUAACUACGUG
rnacentral:rRNA from 1 species